GUAGGUGGCGAGCGUUAUCCGGAAUUACUGGGCGUAAAGCGCACGUAGGCGGCCAUUUAAGUCUGACGUGAAAGCUCCUGGCUUAACUGGGAGAGGUCGUUGGAGACUGGAUGGCUUGAGGCGAUGAGAGGGACGUAGAAUUCCCGGUGUAGUGGUGGAAUGCGUAGAUAUCGGGAGGAAUACCAGUGGCGAAAGCGGCGUCCUAGCAUUGGCCUGACGUUCAGGUGCGAAAGCGUGGGGAGCGAACGGGAUUAGAUACCCCGGUAGUCCACGCCGUAAACGAUGAGCACUAGGUGUGGGGAGUGUUAAAACUGUCCGCGCCGAAGCCAACGCGUUAAGUGCUCCGCCUGGGGAGUACGGCCGCAAGGCUAAA
rnacentral:rRNA from 1 species